GAAAGCUCCUUCCAAACCCACGGGACUUUCUGUUUUCUGAGGAGCACAAAAAGAGACAUUUAGCAGAAUGUCCAAGCGGCUCUUUUACAUGUAAUCAAAUAAUAAAGUGACCAGUGACUGUCCAGCUACAAACAUGACUUAAAAUCACCAUAGAAAGCAUGAAUGAGAUUUCAGUGUUACAGCGAGGUAGAGUUUUCAUUAUCAGUGAACAACCUGAUAAACCAGAUAAAAGAUAAAACAGCAAAUUGAGUGUUUUUGUUUAAAUCUGAAACAUGUUUGCAUGAAUAUAAUGUUAUUAUUAUGAACACUUGAAGUGACCUUCUCAUUAUCUAUUGGAUAGCCUGACUACGUCAGACUUCCUACUUCUGCUCAAUUUCAUUUCACUUCUGUACUCAGUAGGUGUUUCUCAAUGUCAAGGAAGGAUCCUCGGAAGCCAGUAUUUCGAGGAUGCUACGUCAUUGACAUCCAUCGAAGGACUGUUCCAAUGUCAAGGAUCCUCGGAAUUUCAACCAAAGACUGAGUCCUUCGUUCGAAGAAUAUCCCAUACACAGGAAAGGAUGCAUAUGCGUAUCCUUCGCGCUCUUCGCGUUCUCAAAUCACCCACAAUCCUAUGCGCGCAGCUUUGCUAUCUAACCUUAGUUCAAAAAUUAAAAAAUGUCGAACAUUAACGUAGUCGGAGCGUAAACGUUUUUUAUUUACGUUACCAAACAUUUGUUAUAACUGUAGUAAAUAUAAGUAAAGUUUGACGUUUAAAUGCCAGUACAAAUUAUUGAUAUUGUAAAUUAUACAAAUACAAAUGGUUAACUGAACCGGACCUGUCAUUUAACAAUUGGUUGCGUCAACGGCAUUUAUUUUAUAAAUAACUAGUUAAGUUGUCCGAAGUAAUUUAAUGAUACCAUUCACAGCGUUAUUCAAACGGACCUUUUCACUGACGUAAUGACGCAAUGACGUGCACUUGCUAGCCUGUUCCAUUUACGUGUUCUCCGUAUGCUAAAAGGAGUCUCACCUAGCCUCUGAAGGAAGUGACUUGGAAGGAUCAGUCCUACCAAGGAAGUAUCCUUGACAUUGAGAAACUCCUAGUCUGAUACAGUGUCAGAGCUUUCUGUUUGCCACCGGUCUGAAAACAGCCGGGCCAAUCAACGAGCAGAGGGCGGGCUGAGAGCCGUGACGUAGAUGCUAAGCACCGAGUUUUAAAUUGUAGGUUAGAGAAAUCGAAAACCGAAACGACCGCGGAAAUGGGAAACGAGACACAGGAUGCAAUUCGCUCUGUUAUGGAGAACAUUCAACUCUUUUUCAAACUGAAGCCAGAACAAGAAGAGUGUUUAACAACAGGUUUAAAGUGGAAGUUCAAUCAUAGAUUUGAGUUCGAUGCAUGAUGUCUGUGCUUCCAUGCGGCUGUACAGGCGCAUAACAUAACUAAACGUAUCUGAUUGGCUUACGGCUAACCAAUGAUUUUAAACUUCAGACAAGCGCCCCCUAGCGAGAGAGAAAACACUUCUCUAUUAUGCCAUUCCAGACUCUGUCUACGAAGCAAAGUGAAGUAGCAGAGUCUGGUAUUACCAGGCUAUAUAUUGGAGCCCUUUGUGAAGGAAAUCAGUUGUUCACUUCUGUUUGGAAAAUGUUGUCCCCUUCCCAAAAUGGAUUUGCUCACAACAGACUAAUUUGUAAAUAAUCUUGAAAACCCCUUCUACAAAUGAUCAAUAAUUAAGCAAGACUGACAUUUUUUAUAUAUAUUUUUUUAACUUAAUCAGUAUAACAGCAGUAAAGAAGAGAGUUUGGGGUUAAAUUUGUGUCUGAGCUCAUGUUUUGGUUCUGUAACUGUGGGAGGUUUUUGUACGAGUAAACUCGUGAAAUGUAUCACUGUGGUAUUCGGCCAGGGAACAAAACUCAAUGUGAUCGACGUCCCCCUCUCUCCUCCUGUUCUGACUCUCUUGUCUCCGUCCGCUGAGGCUCUGAAGGAGAGUAAAGCUACACUCGUGUGUCUGGCUGAGGAUAUUUCAGUAGCUCUGGUGCACGUCACCUGGUCAGUCAACGGUCGCUCCGUCACAGAUGGAGUCUGGAGCAGUCCUACUGAGAAACAGCAGAACAAAACCUUCAAAAUGAGCAGCUAUCUGACCAUCGAGUCGUCUGACUGGACGGACAAUGCAGAUUUCUCCUGUGAGGUGUCAGCGGGGUCCAAAUUCACUAAGAAAAGUAUCUCAGCUUCACAGUGCUGAAAAAGUGUCUGAAUCUAAAUGUCAGCUGUUAUGCCUUUAUUUCUUUUCAUGUUUGUGAACGGGUGUAUCUGACAUUGACUAUGACUAUGUGCUUCAGUUUUGGGUUUUGAUUCUGCAAAAAUAAAAAUCUUUGGCAUGA